CAACCGCUUCCAGACCCUCGACGA
rnacentral:miRNA from 1 species